GGAAGUAAAAGUCGUAACAAGAUUUCCGUAGGUGAACCUGCGGAAGGAUCAUUACAAAUCUUUUGCGAGAACUGUGUGCUGCUUGCAGUGUGCAGUGACUUGCAACAUUAGCACAGGGUCGCAAGACUCUGAUGUUUACGCUUGUUUGUUUGACAGAGUUAGUUGAGAAUUAAAUAUAGGCAACUUUUAACAAUGGAUCUCUUGGCUCUU
rnacentral:misc_RNA from 1 species